rnacentral:rRNA from 1 species
AUGAUUACUGUGUUAUGCAACUUCCAUUCGCGAGGGGGGGGGGGCUGUGUUUACACAUCAUACCAUGGGUUUCAUGAAUCACCAUAUCAAGAGAUUCGUCGACACAGCUUGUUGCCAGGUAAUCUUCAGUGUGUGAAAGGCAUCAAGCUUCCAUGCGAUGGAAGGCUUUUGCAAACCCGACAUGCGGCGAUGUGGUUCAUGCCAACAGCAAAUAUGCACAACUUGAUUCGUGCUGAUAUCCAGACUAAGCCUUUACCAUAUAACUGGAAUUACCGAUGCAAGUCGAAGAAGGAUUGGCCGGUGCUGCCGGCUGGCGUCAAGUUUGAUCCCACGGAUCAUGAGUUGAUCGAGCACCUUGAGGCCAAAGUGAGUGUUGACAGCGCGAGAUUUCAGUCUCUCAUCGAUUUGUUCAUACCCACCAUCGACAGCGAGACGACAUAUGCUACACCCAACCUGAGAAACUUCCAGAGCAAUUCCAGGGCGUUCAAAAGGGGCACGUGGAUGCGUUGCAAGAUACAGUCGGAGUGCGGCAUGCACGCGAUGUGGCACAAGACCGGCAAUACCAUGCCUGUGAUGGUCAACGGCUGGCAGACGGGCAGCAAAAAAGGUUCUGGUCGAGCAAGUUUCAACUGGGCUGUGGACUGA